rnacentral:sRNA from 1 species
ACUUCCCAAGGCGACUUCCUGUCUCUCCACUUUCUUUCCCUCUCCGUUUUGGUGGGCUGGUUGAAGAUGAAAUCCACUGAGGAGGGAAGUCCAGCACCCUGUGUGCCAGUCCAGAACUGGCCCAUCUGUAGACCCCCUGAAAAUCAUAUGGGCUUGGAUUUGGAUAUUCUCAACAGAAAGGGUUAAAGGCUGAUGGUACCUAAAGCCUGGUACUUGAAUUUUGAUCAAGAUAAGCUGCCUUAAGUUCUCUUCAUUACACAAAUGAUCCUAGAUAAUUGAUAGAUCCUGUGGUUCACCUGGAUUUCUAGAUAGAAGCUGGAUUCAUGUGAUGCCAGAGGAGUAAAAUUUCAAGAGACUGAAACCAGAUCUGAGUUUCGCUGUUCCAGUCUGGACCUCUUUGGUGCUGUAAAUCCUGGAUAUACUGUAGAUGAGUACUGCGUUUUUCUUUUAUGGUUCACAACAUCUGGAAAGAUGGCUACAAAAGAUGGUAUAAGGCUGGGCAUGG